GACGAACGCUGGCGGCGUGCUUAACACAUGCAAGUCGAACGGAAAGGCCUGCUUUCCCUUGUGGUUUGCGGGUACUCGAGUGGCAAACGGGUGAGUAACACGUGAGUGAUCUGCCCCCAACUUGGGUAUAAGCCUGGGAAACUGGGUCUAAUUCCCGAUAGGACUGCAGGGUGGUGCCGGUGGUGGAAAACGAUUUUCUAGUGGUUGGGGAUGAGCUCGCGGCCUAUCAGCUUGUUGGUGGGGUAAUGGCCUACCAAGGCGGCGACGGGUAGCCGGCCUGAGAGGGUGGACGGCCACAUUGGGACUGAGAUACGGCCCAGACUCCUACGGGAGGCAGCAGUGGGGAAUAUUGCACAAUGGGCGGAAGCCUGAUGCAGCGACGCCGCGUGGGGGAUGACGGCCUUCGGGUUGUAAACUCCUUUCGACCGCGAGGAAGCCACCUGGUUGGAAGGGUGGUGACGGUAGUGGUAGAAGAAGCACCGGCUAGCUACGUG
rnacentral:rRNA from 1 species